UACGAAGGGGGGCUAGCGUUGUUCGGAAUCACUGGGCGUAAAGCGUACGUAGGCGGACCAUUAAGUCGGGGGGUGAAAUCCCAGGGCUCAACCCUGGAACUGCCUUCGAUACUGGUGGUCUGGAGUCCGGGAGAGGUGAGUGGAACUCCUAGUGUAGAGGUGAAAUUCGUAGAUAUUAGGGAAGAACACCAGUGGCGAAGGCGGCUCACUGGCCCGGUACUGACGCUGAGGUACGAAAGCGUGGGGAGCAAACAGG
rnacentral:rRNA from 1 species